CCAGCGAUGCCCUUGCCGCCAUGUUGCUUGUGGGCAGAUGCCGGAGGCUGACGAGCGGAGGAAACCGGCACCGCGAGUCUCAGACUUCGUCAUCCUGGUCUGCAUGACUUCCCGAGAUCCUGAGUUUGGUCCCCAGCUCCUGCGUCUGGAGACCUGUCUCCCCGGCUCCACCGGGGCUCGUUCCAGGUGGUCUGCGCUCCGGCGUCCCUGACCAAGCCCUGCGAGUGACCGGCCUGCCUUGGGGUGCACCCGCGGGAACGAACGUCGGGGACCUGCCCCACCCCCAAAGCCAGUGUCGUGAAGAUUGCUCCGGGCAAAGGGAAGGAUGCCACUCUUCUUCCGGAAGCGGAAACCCAGCGAGGAGGCUCGGAAACGCCUGGAGUACCAGAUGUGUCUGGCGAAAGAGGCUGGAGCCGACGACAUCCUUGACAUCUCUAAAUGUGAGCUCUCGGAGAUUCCAUUUGGGGCUUUCGCAACAUGCAAAGUUCUGCAGAAGAAGGUGUUCAUCAUCCACACGAAUUACCUCACCUCCCUGCUCCCGAAAUCCUGCAGCCUGCAGAGUCUCCUCACCAUCAAGGUCCUGGACCUUCAUCAUAACCAGCUGACAGCCCUGCCUGAGGACAUCGGGCAGUUGGCGGCCCUCCAGGUGUUAAACGUGGAGAGGAAUCAACUGACGCAUCUCCCACGUUCCGUUGGGAAACUGAGCCAGCUCCAGACCCUCAAUGCAAAAGACAACAGGCUGAAGGAGCUUCCGGACACCGUGGGGGAACUUCGAAGCUUACGUACUCUGGACGUCAGCGAAAACGAGAUUCGGAGACUGCCGCAGAUGCUGGCGCACGUUCGGACUCUGGAGACCCUGAGCCUGGAUGCCUCCUCCAUGGCCUACCCACCGCCGGAGGUGUGUGGCGCCGGCACCGAGGCCAUUCAGCAGUUCCUCUGCCGAGAGUCAGGGCUGGAGUACUACCCACCGUCUCAGUACCUGCUGCCCGUCCUAGAGCGGGACGGGGCCGAGAGCUCCCAGGACAGCCCCGAUGGGCCCAUGGGCCGAUUCUCCAGGGAGGAGGUAGAAUGGCAGAAUAGGUUCUCAGACUAUGAGAAGAGGAAGGAACAGAAGAUGCUGGAGAAACUCGAGUUUGAACGGCGCCUGGAAGUCGGGCAGCGAGAGCACGCGCAGCUCCUGCAGGAGAGCAACAGCCACCGGGACGAGAUCCUUCAGACGGUCAGGGAGGAGCAGUCCCGGCUGGAGCAGGGCCUCAGCAAGCACCGGCGCUACCUGGACGCAGAGCGUCAGCGGCUGCAGGAGCAGCUGAAGCAGACGGAGCAGAACAUCUCCAACCGGAUCCGGAAGCUCCUGCAAGACAAUCAGAGGCAAAAAAAGACCUCCGAGAUUUUGAAGUCGCUGGAAAAUGAAAGAAUAAGAAUGGAGCAGUUGAUGUCCAUAACCCAGGAGGAGACGGAGAACCUGCGAAGACGUGAGGUUGCCUCCGCCAUGCAGCAGAUGCUGACCGAGAGCUGCAAGAACCGCUUCCUUCAGACGGCCUACGAGUCCCAGAGGCAGAGCUUGGUCCAGCAGGCCUGUUCCAGCAUGGCUGAAAUGGACGAGCGGUUCCAGCAGAUUCUGGCGUGGCAGCAGAUGGACCAGAACAAAGCCAUCAGCCACAUCCUGCAGGAGAGCGCCAUGCAGAAGGCUGCAUUUGAGGCUCUCCAGGUGAAGAAGGACCUGAUGCAUCGGCAGAUCAGGAACCAGAUUAAGUUAAUAGAGACUGAGUUAUUGCAGCUGACACAGCUGGAGUUAAAGAGGAAGGCCCUGGACACAGAGGCACUGCAGGAGAUGAUCUCGGAGCAGCGCUGGGCCCUCAGCUCCCUGCUGCAGCAGCUGCUGAAAGAGAAGGCGCAGCGAGAGGAGGAGCUCCGGGAGAUCCUGACGGAGUUAGAAGCCAAAAGCGAAACCAAGCAGGAAAACUACUGGCUGAUUCAGUAUCAACGUCUCUUGAACCAGAAGCCCUUGUCCUUGAAGCUGCAGGAGGAAGGCCUGGAGCGCCCGCUGGCGGCCCUGCUGGCGGAGCUGGCGGCCGAGCACUACCUGCCCAUCUUUGCCCACCACCGCGUCUCGCUGGACACGCUGAGCCGGAUGAGCCCCGGGGACCUGGCCAAGAUGGGCGUCUCGGAGGCCGGCCUGCAGCGUGAGAUCCCGCGCAGAGCCCAGGAGCUGCUGGAUGCGGCCCGGACCCGGCCAGGCUCUUUGGUCCCCACAGAGCUGCUGAACCACCCCAAGAAGAGGGCCUUGGGGCCCCGGAACCCACUGCCCCUGAGGAGUUCCCUGAGCCGGUGAGGCCGUCGGCGCCCCCCGCGGAGCUGGAGGUGCCGCUGUCGGAGUGCGUCGUGUGCCUGGAGCGGGAGGCGCAGAUGAUCUUCCUCAACUGCGGCCACGUCUGCUGCUGCCCGCAGUGCUGCCAGCCGCUGCGCACCUGCCCGCUGUGCCGCCAGGAGAUCGCCCAGCGCCUCCGGAUCUACCACCGCAGCUGAGCGCCCGCCGGGCCCAGGCCCCCGGCCCCCCGCCCCCCGCCCCAGGCCCAGGGCUCCAGCACGCCCCUGCUCUGCCCACACGAGUAAGGCCCCCUCUCGUCCUGGGCCCUGCCCCACAGCCCGGGAGUGUGCCCCCACCCUUGACCUCCAAGCACUGCUAGGCUGGGGCAGAAUGUGCUCCUGACCCAUGACCCGAGUCCUGUGACAGAAGAGUGAGGGUCCCUCGUGGCACCGGGAAGGCUCUGGGCGUGGCGGCGCAGCUGUGCCGCCCUCGGAGCCAGGGCUGGGGUCCUGGCCAGGGUGGCUUUGCCACCUCCCAGCAGACUGUGGGGGCCCCUGUCCCUGCAGGAGCCUCAGCCUCCUUACCGGGGGAACAUAGACAGUGCUGUCCCCGCUGCGGGGAGGGGCGGCCACAGGCCACCGCAGGCGUGCUCUGAGGUCCCCCGAGCAGCUGGAAGGUGCUCAGUGCAGACCUUGCACCCAGAGCAACAGCAGCCCCCCCUCGCCCCCCUCGCUGCUGUCCCCACUGCUCUGGGCCCCUCUGCUCCCCGGUUCAGGGGCAGGUGGUGAGCUUUGCAGACCCAAACCAGGAGCAUCGGUGUCAAUAAACCCCCCUCCAGCUGCUUC